AGAGUUUGAUCCUGGCUCAGGAUGAACGCUAGCUACAGGCUUAACACAUGCAAGUCGAGGGGCAGCAUUUUAGUUUGCUUGCAAACUAAAGAUGGCGACCGGCGCACGGGGUGAGUAACACGUAUCCAACCUGCCGAUAACUCGGGGAUAGCCUUUCGAAAGAAAGAUUAAUAUCCGAUGGUAUAUUAAAACCGCAUGGUUUUACUAUUAAAGAAUUUCGGUUAUCGAUGGGGAUGCGUUCCAUUAGUUUGUUGGCGGGGUAACGGCCCACCAAGACUACGAUGGAUAGGGGUUCUGAGAGGAAGGUCCCCCACAUUGGAACUGAGACACGGUCCAAACUCAUACGGGAAGCAGCA
rnacentral:rRNA from 1 species